AAACGUUUUGGUCCUAGACUUACUGUUAUGUAACAUCCGCCCUACACAUGCAAGCAUCUACGCCCCAGUGCCUACGCCCACUUCAACCCGGAGCCGACAUCAGGCACACCAAGACAGGAAGCCCACAACGUCUAGCCCAUGCCACAACCACACGGAACUCAGCAGUGACCAACAUUAAAACAUAAGCCAUAAACUCAAGCUUGAUUUAGGCAGGAUACCCAGAGCCGGCCAACCCCGUGCCAGCCGCCGCGGUUACACGGAGGGCCCAAAAUAAUAAACCACGGCGUAAAACGUGACUAGAAAAGCCCUUACCACCUGGGACAACCAAAUAUAACAGCGCAGCUGUAGAAUGCAGGCGCCUUACACCACACCCAUUCCACCCCACAAAAUAAGCCCUUUUGACCUCACGAAGACUAAGACACAAACUAGGAUUAGAUACCCUACUAUGCUUAGUAGUAAACCCAGACAGACACUUUAACUAUCUGUCCGCCAGAAAACUACAAGUAACAAACUUGAAACUCAAAGGACUUGACGGUGCUCUACAUCAUCCUAGAGGAGCCUGUCCUAUAAUCGAUAACCCCCGCUAUACCCAGCCUGCCCUAGAUAAACCCAGCCUAUAUACCGCCGUCUUCAGCCCACCUUAUGAAAGAAGCCUAGUGAGCCCAAUAGUCACCACUAAAACGCCAGGUCAAGGUGUAGCUAAUGGGCAGGAAAGCGAUGGGCUACAUUUUCUACACAGAACCUAACCAGCAGCACCAAGAACCUGGUGCCAAAAGACGGAUUUAGUAGUAAAUCGAACAAACUUGUUCACUUGAAACUUGCUCUGGAGCACGUACACACCGCCCGUCACCCUCAUCAAUUAGCACCCCACAACUAAAUAAAUACCCACGCAACACCAAGAUGAGACAAGUCGUAACAAGGUAAGUACACUGGAAAGUGCACUUGGAAAA
rnacentral:ncRNA from 1 species